rnacentral:rRNA from 1 species
UAUUGCACAAUGGGCGCAAGCCUGAUGCAGCGACGCCGCGUGAGCGAAGAAGUAUUUCGGUAUGUAAAGCUCUAUCAGCAGGGAAGAAAAUGACGGUACCUGACUAAGAAGCGCCGGCUGACUACGUGCCAGCAGCCGCGGUAAUACGUAGGGGGCAAGCGUUACCCGGAUUUAAUGGGUGUAAAGGGAGCGUAGACGGCGAUGCAAGUCUGAAGUGAAAGGCGGGGGCCCAACCCCCGGACUGCUUUGGAAACUGUAUGGCUGGAGUGCAGGAGAGGUAAGUGGAAUUCCUAGUGUAGCGGUGAAAUGCGUAGAUAUUAGGAGGAACACCAGUGGCGAAGGCGGCUUACUGGACUGUAACUGACGUUGAGGCUCGAAAGCGUGGGGAGCAAACAGG